GGACGCGCAGCCCCCGCCCCCGGAAGCUGGCUCUUACGUAACGGGGUGCGGGGUCCCCGCCCGCCCAGGCGCCCCAGUCGGCGCCGCCUCGGCUGCUGCGGGUUUUUGAGGGGGUGAAGUGGGGGUGGGGUGGAGCGGGAGUGGGGUGAUGUAGGACCCCAGCGGGGAUUCUGCCUGGGGGCAGCGACACCCGAAGGCGAGCGGGGUGGGAUGUGGGGCCCGGGCCGGGACGCGGGGGCGCGGGAUCGCGGUCUGCACCCACCUGCGCCCGCCGAGGCUGCGCGGCCGAUCCCCGACAGACUGGCACGCGGGGGCGGAGUCUGGGGCGGGGACUUGGGCGGGGCGGGGUCCCCCAGCUCCCCGACUCUAAUUGUGACGGUGACACCGGUGACGCCGCCCAAGGGGACGCGAGUCACACGGGCCUCGGCCUGGGGGACUUUUGAGGGAUUCAGCGGGGGCACCUGGAUCCUGGCCUUUAAAAAUAUUUUAGCACAGGCAGCGUCUUCGUGAAUGGGCUCGAGAGCCUCCUUCCCAGUUUCCGAGUUUCAGAAUUCCAACCCCGGGGCCUCCGGCCGCGUGUAUCCCAGCCCUCCGGGCCCCACUUCCUCCCACCUGCGGAUGUGCAUUGGUCCAGGCCCAACAACCCCCCAGCCCCAGCCCGAGAACUAACAGAGGGGUCCCAGGCUCCCCCACACAGAGCAGGCAGAUGGAGGGUUACGUGGCUGUCCGUGCUGGCCGGCCCUAGGGAUCCCAGGGACAGGGCGGGAUGGGUGGGACCUCAGUGCCCCUCUGCCACCUUCCCCUAGAACAUGCCUGGGGGCCCGAGAUCAGAAUCUGCUGGAAACCGUUUCCAGGUUUCAGCUUGGAAACCAGAAAUGGGCAGAACUUGGGCUUCAACUAGAAGAAGACCACUGGCCCUGAGUCCCCGCAGAUUCGGCUCCCGGCAGCCCAAGCAUAGAGUGUGGGUGUGGGGACAGGGCUGUCUCCAAGUGUGUGAGGCACUGCCCGGCAGAGCGGGAUACCAGUCGGUGACGUCGCAGGCAUCUGUGACCACCGUGGCGCCCUGCUCCCCCGUCCCCUCACUCUCCAGCUGACCUCAGGGAAAAAGUCCCUCUGAGAAGGCCACCGCCUCUGUCUCCCGUCCACCCCGGCUGGGGGUCACUUAGCCCUCGGUCCCUGGUCGGAGACAGGAAGAAUUUGGCGCCCCCCAAGUGCGAAUGUGGGGUGCAGCGCACGACCCCGAGCCGCCCCGAAGGAGGAGCUGCUCUCCGUAGCCCGCUUGGGGCCCUGAGGGACGAAUCUGCCCUGGCGACAUGCUGCACUUCCAGCGGCGGCCAGCAGGGAGCGCCAGAACCCAUGCCUUAUGGCUUCACCGCCCAACAAAAAGGGUCUGGAGCCCUGGGCGCCCAGGACAGACGGACAGACAGGCCUAACAGGACGGCAGAGGCUACGUGAUCCAUAAACAUCUGCUCAUUAACUACUGUACCUGCCGAGAAACCCUUCGCAUACACAGCGGGACCCUCUUCAAAGACUGUCCCGAGCCCGCCCCCCACAACCACCGCAGCCGCUGCACCCCUGUACCGUGUGCACCUGUGCGCAUGUGUGCGUGUCCCAGGCCACACAGCUGUGCUCAUGUCCUCCACAUCUGCACGCUGCAGUGCCAGCUCCCCCGGAUAAAGAUGUAGAGCCCCUUGAUCUCCAGGGACAGACAGGGUCACCCCAAAACUGCCAGGCCAUGGGUGGCACGUCCCUUUCCUGCUUGCCCACACACCCUCGAGUGGCUCCGUGCCCGGCCCCACCUGUGCACCCACUUCUUUCCUCUGUCCAGUGCCCCGGUCCCAGGGCCGCAGACUGUGGUAGCCCACCACUGUGUAGGAACCAGGGCCAGGCCGUGAGGAUAGCUGGGGAAAGUCAGUGCAGAGUCCAUGCCCAUCACUGAGUGUCCAUGGCUGGCCUUGCCUUGGGGUGCCCCAUGGACCCCGACGCAGGCCUCAGAGGUGAGGGAGCUGGUGGGGGACAGGAUACGCAGACCCAGGCAGGACACUUUGGGACCCUGGGCCGCUGAGUUGCCAUUUGGGGACAGAAAGGACAGAGAAGUGUGCUGGGGUGUGGCGGGUGGGGGCCAUGUGUGCUCACACAUGCACACAUGCACCCAGGGUGCAGUGGCAGAGAUAGGAGGGGACACUGAGCUCAGGCACCUGCCCUGGGCUUCCCAGCGCCAGGCCGCAUGAGGGCUCUGCUGCCACCAUGAGGCUGCCCACUUCCUGUCCCUCCCCGGCUGAGGCCCAGCUGCAGUGUCCUGCUCUGUCCUGAGCCUGUAUCAUAGGGCACCGCCACCCCAGCACUGCCCCACAUGUGCCCCUGCCCACCCCACCCUGGGUGCCCCAUUCUCCCUUCCUCCCCUUGGUACUGAAGGCAAUGGGGCCUCCUGCCCACCCCUGCACAGGGAUGCCCAGCACUGGCGUCAGGGCCAAGGGGGACCCCUCAUUACCUUUCUCCAGCCCAUAUGGGCCCUGCCCUUGCCCAGAUGGGCCUCGGGCUUGGGGGAAACCCAGUCAGCUGCCCAAGGCGCCCAGGGUCAAGGGGCCCACGGACUCACCCUGCCCACAGGGCACAGUUCAGGGGAGAGAUCUGCCUGGUUUUUGGAUUAUUCUUCAGUUUACCAAACUGUGGUGGCUGCAGAGACAGCUGGACUCAGUGACCUUUGAAGCAUCCACAGUGAGAAGGACCCGGGAACAGCCAGCCACUUCUCACUAAACCACACCCCUCCCCGUUCCAUGGCAUGGGUCACCCCAUCUCCAUUUCAUGUAGACUCAGUGCAGACACCUUCACUAACUCGCUGCAAGUCCCCCAGGAGCCUGUCACGGAGCCCCAGUGUGGGGACCAGGGCUGCUUCCGCCUCAGCCUCCUCCCUGUGGCCCCGACUCCUUUGUGAAUCCACUGCCACCUCUCCACGCCCCACUGCUCCUCAAAAUGGUGACACCUUCCCUGCAAGGGUUUCCAGAGGCCUCCGAAGCUCUCACUGCUCCACUCUGGAGUGGCAGUGCUGGCUGGGGCCUGAGUCAAGAGCCCAGUGCUUCCAGAGGCAGUGACUUCUAGGACUCAGUCCCCUGGUCAGUGCUGCUGGGUGGCCAUGGAAGUCCUGCAAGGUGGGGCUCCCAGAGAUCCCUGCCACACUCUGGAGGAUGCAGGGCCUAGACCUCGCCCUGCCCCUACUCAUGAUGGAAGACAUACUGCCCGAUGUUCUCAGAGGCCACAGCUAUAGUCACACCAAGCUGGACAGGAGUCCUGGCCCUCUGGGCCAUAGCCCUCCUGAGCUGGUGUCACCCAGAGAACCUGCAGCUGUCCAAGAGGAGCAGCCUGGAGACAGACCUCAGACCUCAGAACAGGAAGGGGACAAACCAGCUGGCCACACCCAGCCACAGCGCCCGCCCUGGUCCUCACUGAUCCUGGACAAUGCCUGAGAGCUGGUGCCAUUAACAGGACUCACGCAUGUCCCAUCCCUUGGAAAGCCCAUCCCAUGAGAGCACAAGCUGCUGGUUUCCAGCACAGCCUUUCCCCAAACCCCUCCCCCUCCUGGUCCUCGAGGCCCAGAUCUCCCGCCAUCCAGAGGAAGGAAGAGGCCGAGAAAAGCCAGUGGCCCAUGCUAGCCUGGCACAUGAUGCCAGAAGCUGUGGCGGAGCUGUCGCCCUCCAUGGGAAGGCCACGUUGUUGCCAGCUAACGGGCACUGGAGAACAGGAGCCUCGCGCCUGGCUUCUGUGACUUCCAUGCCAGACACACAGGCCAGGUCCAAGACAGGGGGAUCUGCAUGGAAAGGACUGGGCAGCCAGGGGCCGAGGGCAGUGGCUUCUCUCUGGGGGAUGGAAACACCCCUCGGUGGACAGUGACGCUGGGCUGCAGCUGUGUGGGGGAGCUGAGGAGGCAGCCCCACAGGCCUCAUCCCCAAUCCUGACUUGGGUUGCACAACUGCUUCCCACUGCGUCCCAGAAAGAACCCAAUGGAAGUCUUCACCCAGGACCUGGACCAGGGCAACACACAGGGACACUUGAUGCUCAACCUGAAGCACUGAGAUGUGAGGGGGUCCCCACAUCCCGGGGGCAUCCCCAUCAUCCCUGGAUCAGGCAGGAGCCAGGCCCCAGAAGUCAAUGCUGUUCUCCAAGACACUCUGGUCUCAUCCAGCAGGGAAGUGAAACCCACACCCAAAUAAGAUGGUUAACAGCUAUUCACUCAACAAACCCCAGACCUGUGCUGUACUCCAGGCAGUGGGUGAAGUCGCUGGGUGGACACAGCUCUUUCCUCUUCUCUGGGGGCUCAGCUAGGCAGCUCCCCCAGACACUGGGGGCAGAGCCCUGGGAGACAGGAGGACAGGGAGGGUCCAAGGGCUCCAAAGGGGUCUGGCGGAGGUGAACCAAAGAGACUCGACAGGCAGAGGCACAGAAAAGCUGCCGGGCUCCUCAGCAGCUCUGGGACCCCAUAGGUGAUAAGUAGACAGGUGGGUGCAGUCAGCGGGAAGCAGUUCUUGAGCAGGCAAAGCUGGGGCAGCCACCGAGGAAUGCACCCUCCCCUGUGCUGGACAGUGCCACAUGGCCACACGUCCUGCUCAGGCCGUGCCUGACUAGGGGAUCCCUGAGAUCAAGGGAGGACACAGGUGAGCACCAGGCAACCCCGUGGAGGAGGGCAGCACUCUGGGUUGUCAUGUGUCAUGUGACCAGGUGGUGAGCCGGGCUCCCUCUGUAGACUGCUCCCCACUGCAGUGCCCUCCCUCGGUGAGGUGGCCCCAGGAAUCUUUGCACCAGAAGGAUAGGCCCAGGCCCCAGGACCCCCUGCCCGGCACAGGGCCCAGUGGCACCAGCAGCAGCAGGCAGUGGGCGGUGGAGCAGGCCUGUGGGCAGCCCUGACUUCGAGGAAGGGGUCUCAUGUCUCUGGACAGUUCAUCGGGACCCAGGGCCAGUUCGGCCCUAGCCUGCGUACCUGGAGCAAAAGGUCACCUAUGUGUCCCACCUACCACCAGGGAUGGCAGGAACAGUGCCCAAGGGAGAGCAGCCAAUAGCCCGUGAGUGUCCACAUCCACCUGUCUGUUGCCUGCGGAGAUGGGACAGGAGGUCAGGCAGAGGGUAGAGUACAGAGGCCUAGGGGACAUACAGGCCCCGAAGUCCUGCCCAAUCCGGCCCCAGCCCAGUGACCUUACCACAGCAUGGUAACGUCAACUGCCCCGCAGGAACCAUCGCAUCCGCUGUGCUGGAGCCCAGACCAUGGGAGAGGCAGUGGAGCCGAGGAAGGUCCCUGAGAGUGGCAGCGAGGGCUCAGGGUUCGGCUGCCUGUCAGGCUGAGGGAGAGUGUGGUCUGAGGGCUUCCCCGCGCCCUGCACUCAGCGGGAUGUGAGGUCCCCCGAUGUCCCCGUGAGCAGCCCGCUCUUCACUUGACCUGGGCUGAGUCGCUGAGCGCCUGCCACAGCCCUGGUACCUUCUGGGCUCCGGUGCCACUUUCACGGGCAACUCUGGCCGCGCCCAGUGGCUGGACAGGGCCUCAGACAGCAGGUGAUGAGCUUGGGACACGGCGAGUGACGCCUGCGGAGCAGUGGGGCAGGUAGACGGCAAGCUCGGCGCUCCGGCAGAGGCGAUGCCCCAGCCAGGUCGGCGACGGAGGGGGCGCAGGGGGAGAGGCUCGGCAAGGGAAAGUCAGGCUACAGGGCGCACUCCCCAUUUGCUGGUUUUUGCGGUGCUGGUGUUGAAUCCAGCGCGCUCUCGCUGCGCCCGUUUUGUUCUGGAAGGGGCUCCCCCUAAGUCGCCCAACUGGCCUGGAACUUGACCAUCCUCCCGCCUCAGCUUCCGAACGCUGGGCUCACGGGCGCUCCCUAGGACCCACACCUUGCUAGCGGGCGCACGCUGCGCCCUGGGCCCCAGGCUGUCCCUUGGGUUGCAAGACCCGGGCAUCACGUGACCUCUGCCCCCACCUGCACCGCGUGUCAUUGCAGGUCUCCCACCCGCAGGCGGCGGCCCUGGGCUGCGCCUGCGCACUGGCGUCAGCUGUCUGGGGUGGUUGCUGCUGGAGCCCGGUGCGCGGAGCUGCAGAUGCCCGCGGCCGCGAGCCUGCACUGGUCGGCUGGCUCUCCCAACUUCGGCCACCUCACCAAGUACAUAGCGAAGUUUUUCGGCAGCAGGUGGACCCCGAGGUCCUCUGGGGGCAAGGGCUCCAGGCACCCCACACGCGUGCGUGCGGGACCUACGCAGACGCGUCUUACCCAGCGCGAAGAAACCCAUAAACCAGCUGAAACCCACGAUCGCCACGAACACCUCGAGCGCCACGAACACCACGAAAGCCACGGAAUCCCAGAGCCUCCCAAGCCCCACGCUGCGAUAGGCGCCAGAGCUCGGAACUCUGCUGCCCCCUCCCCCCAGGGCCCCGACUAGGACGUCAUGGACCCUGCGUGGGCAUGGGGCCCGGCUCCUCCCACCCUCAAGAGCAAUAAAGAGGCACUAGAGCA